rnacentral:rRNA from 1 species
UACAGAGGGUGCAAGCGUUGUCCGGAUUUACUGGGCGUAAAGAGCGCGCAGGCGGUCGUUCAAGUCGCGUGUGAAAGCCCCCGGCUCAACUGGGGAGGGUCACGCGAUACUGAUCGACUCGAAGGCAGGAGAGGGUAGUGGAAUUCCCGGUGUAGUGGUGAAAUGCGUAGAUGUCGGGAGGAACACCAGUGGCGAAGGCGACUACCUGGCCUGUUCUUGACGCUGAGGCGCGAAAGCUAGGGGAGCAAACGGG